UGGAUAGCUUCUUAAUUCACUCUGGUAUUUUAUCCUUAUUUUGCCAAAUCUUACGGGUUUUGUAUUAGCAACUGUGGUCAACAAGCAUGGUUGUACAUGGAGAAGAAGUGCAAUAGGCCUCCAUUCACUGAAGUGAGAAAGGCAAAGAAUAUUGGCAUCAAGUACUUGCGAAACAAGCUUUAGUUAUCAAAAUGGAGAAAAUAGUGAGAGUGGCAAACUUCACCCAGUUCUCUGGAAAAUUUAGAGCCUUGUGAUCAGAUGACUAGAGUUGGACAGUGACUAUGAAUUGCUUAGCUCUCCUUAAUAUCAUGGCAUCAAGAGGGAGAGUGGCAAGAUUUCACCCAAUUCUCUGUAAAAUUUACAACCUUGUGAGCAAAUGACUAAAGUUGGCCAGGUCAUUGUUCCUUGUCUUCAUAAGUUUUCAUUGAGAGCUUUUCAAGUUAUUGAGAUGUACUAUCAAAGUUUGAAGAAUGUCCAGUAUCUCAGAAACAUGAUGAAGGCAGGAUAUCAUAUCCAGUAUAUUCUUCUCUUGGUCUUCCACUAAUGGACCUACAAAGCUAUAUACAAGAAAUCAAAUGCAGAUAUAGGCACCAAUUACAUGAAAUUUCAAGUGGUCUACUACUGGCUACAGCUGGAGGUUGAAUGUCUUUGCAGCAAGUUCAGUAUGUUUCAUUUCAAAUUUGGGCUUUGUCAAAGCAAUAUAGAGGAUGAUCGUACAUUAUUGGUAGACUUCAACUUGGUGGACAAUAAGGAAAUCGACUCCACGUCAAUAACAACUACAGCAUCCGGUCCAUGCCAGGCAGGCAUUUUGAAACGCAAGUAGCGCUCUACACAUUCAACAGGAAGGAGGGAUCGGAAAGUAAAGAAGAAGGCCUUUCAAAACACAUUCUGUAUGCAUGUAUGGGCAAAAUCCUGUUCUUAUACAUGAUAAGGUCUGGUGGUCAGUAAUGCUUGUUUGAAGUCAGAUGUGAAUUGCAAUCUGGAUUCCUUCUAUAUGUUUCCCAUUUUUAACCCAUGAUGCGUUUUACUCAUACAAUUUUAUUUUUCUUUCCCUGUUCAAUUGUUAAUUGCAUGUACAGUUUUGGCAACAUCAUGGCCCAAAUGACUCUACAUAGUUGGAGCUUUGAAGACAUUAUCUUGUAUUAUCAUUGCUUAUCAUCCAUUCAAAUGCAGUUUUUUCUAUUAUCUUUAUUUA
rnacentral:sRNA from 1 species